AGAGUUUGAUCCUGGCUCAGGAUGAACGCUAGCUACAGGCUUAACACAUGCAAGUCGAGGGGCAGCAUGUUGGUUGCUUGCAACCGAUGAUGGCGACCGGCGCACGGGUGAGUAACGCGUAUCCAACCUACCCUUGUCCAUCGGAUAACCCGUCGAAAGGCGGCCUAACACGAUAUGCGGUUCACAGCAGGCAUCUAACGUGAACGAAAUGUGAAGGAGAAGGAUGGGGAUGCGUCUGAUUAGCUUGUUGGCGGGGUAACGGCCCACCAAGGCGACGAUCAGUAGGGGUUCUGAGAGGAAGGUCCCCCACAUUGGAACUGAGACACGGUCCAAACUCCUACGGGAGGCAGCAGUGAGGAAUAUUGGUCAAUGGACGAGAGUCUGAACCAGCCAAGUAGCGUGCAGGAUGACGGCCCUAUGGGUUGUAAACUGCUUUUAUAGGGGGAUAAAGUGUGCCACGUGUGGCAUAUUGCAGGUACCCUAUGAAUAAGGACCGGCUAAUUCCGUGCCAGCAGCCGCGGUAAUACGGAAGGUCCGGGCGUUAUCCGGAUUUAUUGGGUUUAAAGGGAGCGUAGGCCGUUUGGUAAGCGUGUUGUGAAAUGUCGGGGCUCAACCUGGGCAUUGCAGCGCGAACUGCCAGACUUGAGUGCGCAGGAAGUAGGCGGAAUUCGUCGUGUAGCGGUGAAAUGCUUAGAUAUGACGAAGAACUCCGAUUGCGAAGGCAGCCUGCUGUAGCGCAACUGACGCUGAAGCUCGAAAGCGUGGGUAUCGAACAGGAUUAGAUACCCUGGUAGUCCACGCGGUAAACGAUGGAUGCUCGCUGUUUGCGUCUGACGUAAGCGGCCAAGCGAAAGCGUUAAGCAUCCCACCUGGGGAGUACGCCGGCAACGGUGAAACUCAAAGGAAUUGACGGGGGCCCG
rnacentral:rRNA from 1 species